rnacentral:rRNA from 1 species
GAUGAACGCUGGCGGCGUGCCUAACACAUGCAAGUCGAACGAAGACGCUUAUUCAGAUUCCUUCGGGAUGACGAAUUUGUGGACUGAGUGGCGGACGGGUGAGUAACGCGUGGGUAACCUGCCUUGUACAGGGGGACAACAGUUAGAAAUGACUGCUAAUACCGCAUAAGCCAACGGAAUCGCAUGAUUCAGUUGGAAAAACUCCGGUGGUACAAGAUGGGCCCGCGUCUGAUUAGUUAGUUGGCGGGGUAACGGCCCACCAAGACGACGAUCAGUAGCCGGCUUGAGAGAGUGAACGGCCACAUUGGGACUGAGACACGGCCCAAACUCC